GACCCCGCACAAGUAGUGGAGCAUGUGGUUUAAUUCGAAGAUACGCGCAGAACCUUACCAACACUUGACAUGUUCGUCGCGACUUUAAGAGAUUAAAGUUUUCGGUUCGGCCGGACGAAACACAGGUGCUGCAUGGCUGUCGUCAGCUCGUGUCGUGAGAUGUUGGGUUAAGUCCCGCAACGAGCGCAACCCUCACUUUUAGUUGCCAUCAUUUAGUUGGGCACUCUGAAAGAACUGCCAGUGAUAAGCUGGAGGAAGGUGGGGAUGACGUCAAGUCCUCAUGGCCCUUACGGGUUGGGCUACACACGUGCUACAAUGGUAGUGACAAUGGGGUUAAUCCCCAAAAAGCUAUCUC
rnacentral:rRNA from 1 species